GACGAACGCUGGCGGCGUGCCUAAUACAUGCAAGUCGAACGCACUCUCGUUUAGAUUGAAGGAGCUUGCUCCUGAUUGAUAAACAUUUGAGUGAGUGGCGGACGGGUGAGUAACACGUGGGUAACCUGCCCUAAAGUGGGGGAUAACAUUUGGAAACAGAUGCUAAUACCGCAUAAAACCUAACACCGCAUGGUGUAGGGUUGAAAGAUGGUUUCGGCUAUCACUUUAAGAUGGACCCGCGGUGCAUUAGUUAGUUGGUGAGGUAAAGGCUCACCAAGACCGUGAUGCAUAGCCGACCUGAGAGGGUAAAUCGGCCACACUGGGACUGAGACACGGCCCAGACUCCUACGGGAGGCAACAGUAGGGAAUCUUCCACAAUGGACGAAAGUACUGAUGGAGCAAACGCCGCCGUGAGUGAAGAAGGUUUU
rnacentral:rRNA from 1 species